GUGCUUGUUUUGGCAGCACAUAAAAUUGGAAUGAUACAGAGAAGAUUAGCAUAGCCCCUGUGCAAGGAUGACACAACGCUUUAUGAAGCGUUCCAUAUUUUU